GGAAGGAGGGGAAGACGUCAAGUCAGCACGGCCCUUAUGCCCUGGGCUACACACACACUACAAUGGCGAAAAACAAUGGGUUGCAAGCCGGCAACGGCAAGCUAAUCCCUCAAAUUUCGCCUCAGUUCAGAUUGAGGGCUGAAACCCGCCCUCAUGAAGCCGGAAUUGGUAGUAAUCGCGGAUCAGCAAGCCGCGGUGAAUACGUUCUCGGGUCUUGUACAAAUUAAAGGCGCUUGGCAGCGCAUAAAGCAAGAUGGUGAAAAUCCAUC
rfam:Candidatus Levybacteria bacterium RIFCSPHIGHO2_01_FTLL_37_33 rifcsphigho2_01_scaffold_5436, whole genome shotgun sequence.